ACGGAAGGCAGCAGUGGGGAAUAUUGCACAAUGGGCGAAAGCCUGAUGCAGCGACGCCGCGUGAGCGAAGAAGUAUUUCGGUAUGUAAAGCUCUAUCAGCAGGGAAGAUAAUGACGGUACCUGACUAAGAAGCACCGGCUAAAUACGUGCCAGCAGCCGCGGUAAUACGUAUGGUGCAAGCGUUAUCCGGAUUUACUGGGCGUAAAGGGCGUGUAGGCGGCACUGUAAGUCCGGAGUGAAAGUCCUGCUUUCAAGGUGGGAAUUGCUUUGGAGACUGCAGAGCUUGAGUACAGAAGAGGUAAGCGGAAUUCCCGGUGUAGCGGUGAAAUGCGUAGAGAUCGGGAGGAACACCAGUGGCGAAGGCGGCUUACUGGGCUGUAACUGACGCUGAGGCGCGAAAGCGUGGGGAGCGAACAGGAUUAGAUACCCUGGUA
rnacentral:rRNA from 1 species